AGAGUUUGAUCCUGGCUCAGGAUGAACGCUAGCGGCAGGCUUAAUACAUGCAAGUCGAGGGGCAGCAUGACUGUAGCAAUACAGUUGAUGGCGACCGGCAAACGGGUGCGGAACACGUACAGAACCUUCCUUCGAGCGGGGAAUAGCCCAGAGAAAUUUGGAUUAAUACCCCAUAGCAUAACGGAGUGGCGUCACUCUGUUAUUAAAGAUUUAUCACUUGAAGAUGGCUGUGCGGCUGAUUAGGUAGUUGGCGGGGUAACGGCCCACCAAGCCUGCGAUCAGUAACUGGUGUGAGAGCACGACCAGUCACACGGGCACUGAGACACGGGCCCGACUCCUACGGGAGGCAGCAGUAAGGAAUAUUGGUCAAUGGACGAAAGUCUGAACCAGCCAUGCCGCGUGGAGGAU
rnacentral:rRNA from 1 species